AAUGAUAGCAGAAAAGAAAUAUUCCCUGAAAAGAAAGCAGAAAGGUAGGAGUAUGGCGUUUCAACCACUGUUUUUCUUUCUUUAUUUAUUUCUCUCUUUCUUCCCCGGAGUCCAACACAAUAUAUACUUCUCAAGUUAUUGACUGCUGCUUUCAUAUGUUAUGCGAUAUCACUGAUAUAUAUUCUUGC
rnacentral:ribozyme from 14 species